CUCGCUGUGAAGAUGCAGUGUACCCGCGGCAAGACGGAAAGACCCCGUGAACCUUUACUAUAGCUUGACACUGAACAUUGAGCCUUGAUGUGUAGGAUAGGUGGGAGGCUUUGAAGCGUGGACGCCAGUCUGCGUGGAGCCAACCUUGAAAUACCACCCUUUAAUGUUUGAUGUUCUAACGUGGACCCGUAAUCCGGGUUGCGGACAGUGUCUGGUGGGUAGUUUGACUGGGGCGGUCUCCUCCUAAAGAGUAACGG
rnacentral:rRNA from 1 species